GCCUACUUAGCUCAGUUGGCUAGAGUGCACAAGAAGCAUUUGUCUCCCUUCAUAUGCACUUGUGAGGCCGCGAGUUCGAGUCUCGCAGUGGGCG